CCUACGGGAGGCAGCAGUGGGGAAUAUUGGACAAUGGGGGGAACCCUGAUCCAGCGACGCCGCGUGAGUGAAGAAGUAUUUCGGUAUGUAAAGCUCUAUCAGCAGGGAAGAAAGAAAUGACGGUACCUGACUAAGAAGCCCCGGCUAACUACGUGCCAGCAGCCGCGGUAAUACGUAGGGGGCAAGCGUUAUCCGGAUGUACUGGGUGUAAAGGGAGCGUAGACGGCGAUGCAAGUCUGAAGUGAAAGGCGGGGGCCCAACCCCCGGACUGCUUUGGAAACUGUAUGGCUGGAGUGCAGGAGAGGUAAGUGGAAUUCCUAGUGUAGCGGUGAAAUGCGUAGAUAUUAGGAGGAACACCAGUGGCGAAGGCGGCUUACUGGACUGUGACUGACGUUGAGGCUCGAAAGCGUGGGGAGCAAACAGGAUUAGAUACCCCUGUAGUC
rnacentral:rRNA from 1 species